GGGGUCGUGGUGCAGCUGGUUAGCACACUGGCCUGUCAAGCCAGAGGUCGCGGGUUCGAGUCCCGUCGGCCCCGCCA
rnacentral:tRNA from 1 species